rnacentral:rRNA from 1 species
CAUUACUGAGUUUACGCUCUAUAACCCUUUGUGAACAUACCUAUAACUGUUGCUUCGGCGGGUAGGGUCUCCGCGACCCUCCCGGCCUCCCGCCUCCGGGCGGGUCGGCGCCCGCCGGAGGAUAACCAAACUCUGAUUUAACGACGUUUCUUCUGAGUGGUACAAGCAAAUAAUCAAAACUUUUAACAACGGAUCUCUUGGUUCUGGCAUCGAUGAAGAACGCAGCGAAAUGCGAUAAGUAAUGUGAAUUGCAGAAUUCAGUGAAUCAUCGAAUCUUUGAACGCACAUUGCGCCCGCCAGCAUUCUGGCGGGCAUGCCUGUUCGAGCGUCAUUUCAACCCUCAAGCUCUGCUUGGUGUUGGGGCCCUACAGCUGAUGUAGGCCCUCAAAGGUAGUGGCGGACCCUCCCGGAGCCUCCUUUGCGUAGUAACUUUACGUCUCGCACUGGGAUCCGGAGGGACUCUUGCCGUAAAACCCCCCAAUUUUCCAAAGGUUGACCUCGGAUCAGGUAGGAAUACCCGCUGAACUUAAGCAUAUCAAUAAGCGGAGGAAAAGAAACCAACAGGGAUUGCCUCAGUAACGGCGAGUGAAGCGGCAACAGCUCAAAUUUGAAAUCUGGCCCUAGGCCCGAGUUGUAAUUUGCAGAGGAUGCUUUUGGUGCGGUGCCUUCCAAGUUCCCUAGAACGGGACGCCAGAGAGGGUGAGAGCCCCGUACAGUUGGACACCAAGCCUUUGUAAAGCUCCUUCGACGA